GUGGGGAAUCUUGCGCAAUGGGCGAAAGCCUGACGCAGCCAUGCCGCGUGAAUGAUGAAGGUCUUAGGAUUGUAAAAUUCUUUCACCGGGGACGAUAAUGACGGUACCCGGAGAAGAAGCUCCGGCUAACUUCGUGCCAGCAGCCGCGGUAAUACGAAGGGGGCUAGCGUUGCUCGGAAUUACUGGGCGUAAAGGGCGCGUAGGCGGACAGCUUAGUCAGAGGUGAAAGCCAAGGGCUAAACCUUGGAAUUGCCUUUGAUACUGGCUGUCUUGAGUUUGGGAGAGGUGAGUGGAACUCCGAGUGUAGAGGUGAAAUUCGUAGAUAUUCGGGAGAACACCAGUGGCGAAGGCGACUCACUGGCCCAAUACUGACGCUGAGGCGCGAAAGCGUGGGGAGCAAACAGGAUUAGAAACCCGGGUAGUCC
rnacentral:rRNA from 1 species